GCUGCGGGACCCAUCCGGCUGGGAAUAGUGCUCCUUGUUUCCGGCUCAAAUGGGUGUGUCGAGCCU
rnacentral:pre_miRNA from 1 species